AUUGAACGCUGGCGGCAUGCUUUACACAUGCAAGUCGAACGGCAGCGCGGGCUUCGGCCUGGCGGCGAGUGGCGAACGGGUGAGUAAUACAUCGGAACGUGCCCAGUAGUGGGGGAUAGCUCGGCGAAAGCCGGAUUAAUACCGCAUCCGAUCUGAGGGUGAAAGCGGGGGUUCUUCGGACCUCGCGCUAUUUGAGCGGCCGAUGGAGGAUUAGCCAGUUGGUGGGGUAAAGGCCUACCAAGGCGACGAUCUGUAGCUGGUCUGAGAGGACGACCAGCCACACUGGAACUGAGACACGGCCCAGACCCCUACGGGAGGCAGCAGUGGGGAAUUUUGGACAAUGGGCGAAAGCCUGAUCCAGCAAUGCCGCGUGGGUGAUGAAGGCCUUCGGGUUGUAAAGCACUUUUGGCGGGAACGAAAAGGACUGUGCCAAUACCACGGUUCGAUGACGGUACCCGCAGAAUAAGCACCGGCUAACUACGUG
rnacentral:rRNA from 1 species